CUCAGUUCGAAUGGAAGCAGCAAUUCGAUGAAGAAAUUGAACCAACCUCCACCGUUUCUGUCAAAGACCAAUACGUUUCGAAACGCCAAGAAUCAGUCAAAGAAAAGGGCUGCUUUUACUGAUUUUCCUGGUGUAGUUGGUUGAAGUAACUUGAAAUUUUCCAUUGUUUGUUAAGAUGGCAUUAAUCACCUUAAACUCUUGAGUGGUAAGCAACUGAUUAGAGUUAUUUUGUGUCAACUUCACUGCAGAUCAUACUUUCUCAAGAAAGAAAUAU